rnacentral:rRNA from 1 species
UACGUAGGGUGCAAGCGUUGUCCGGAAUUAUUGGGCGUAAAGAGCUCGUAGGCGGUCUGUCGCGUCGGCUGUGAAAACUCGGGGCUCAACUCCGAGCCUGCAGUCGAUACGGGCAGACUAGAGUGCUGUAGGGGAGACUUGAAUUCCUGGUGUAGCGGUGAAAUGCGCAGAUAUCAGGAGGAACACCGGUGGCGAAGGCGGGUCUCUGGGCAGUAACUGACGCUGAGGAGCGAAAGCGUGGGGAGCGAACAGG